rnacentral:tRNA from 1 species
GCGGGGUAGCUCAAUUGGAGAGAGCGAUUGCCUACGAAGCAAUAGGUUGUGAGUUCGAGUCCCACCCCCG